rnacentral:rRNA from 1 species
AGAGUUUGAUCAUGGCUCAGGAUGAACGCUAGCUACAGGCUUAACACAUGCAAGUCGAGGGGCAGCAUGUUGGUUGCUUGCAACCAAUGAUGGCGACCGGCGCACGGGUGAGUAACGCGUAUCCAACCUACCCUUGUCCAUCGGAUAACCCGUCGAAAGGCGGCCUAACACGAUAUGCGGUUCACAGCAGGCAUCUAAGGUGAACGAAAUGUGAAGGAGAAGGAUGGGGAUGCGUCUGAUUAGCUUGGUUGGCGGGGUAACGCCACAAGGCUACGAUCAGUAGGGGUUCUGAGAGGAGGUCCCCCANAUUGGAACUGAGACACGGUCCAAACUCCGUACGGGAGCA